rnacentral:lncRNA from 10 species
CGGGCUAAUUUUUUAUAUUUUUAAUAGAGAUGGGGUUUCCCUGUGUUAGCGAGGAUGGUCUCGAUCUCCUGACCUCGUGAUCUGCCGGCCUCAGCCUCCCAAAGUGCUGGGAUUAUAGGUGUGAGCCACCGUGCCUGGCCUAAAGCAUCCUUUUUAUGAAGACUGUUUUAAAAUCUUUGUCAGAUAAUUCUAGUAUAUUUGUCAUCUUCUUGUUUGUGUCUGUUGAUUAUCGUUCAGCAUUCAAAUUGUGGUUUUUUUUUUUUUUUUUGGUUCUCAUAUGACAAGUAAAUUGCGAUUGAAACCUGGACCUUUUGAAUAUCAUAGUAAGAGAUUCCGGAUUUCAUUGAAAGCUUCUAGUGUAGCAGGACUUCCUUGACACCACGUCAGCAAGAGAAGAGCAGUAUCUCCUCAUUCCUGCCAGGAAAUUUUCUAUCAAAAAGAUAUGAGACAACAAAUGUUGGUGAGGCUGUGGAGAAAAGAGAACCUCAACCCUUGUACACUGUCGGUGGGAGUACAAAUUGGUACAGCUAUCAUGAAAAACAGUAUGAAGGUUCAUCAAAAAAUUAAAAAUAGAACUACCAUAUGAUUCAGAGAUCCUACUCUGGGAAUAUAUCCAAAAAAGAUGAAAUUAGUAUUUCAAUAAGAUAUCUGUAUCUUCAUGUUCAUUGCAGAAUUUUUCACAAUAGUCAACAUAUGAAAUCAAUCUAAGCAUCCAUCUGUAGAUGAAUGGAUAAAGAAAUUGUGGUACAUAUACAAAAGGGAUAUUAUUCAGUCAUAGAAUAGAAGAAAAUUCUGCCAUUUGCAACAACAUGGUUAAACCUGGAGAACAUUAUGCUAAGCAAAAUAAGCCAUACAUACAAAGACAAACCCUGUGUGGUUGCACUUAUAUGUAGAACCUGAAAAUGCCAAACACUUAGAAGCUAAGAGUAAAGUAAAAUGGUGAUUGCUAGAGGCUGGUGAAUGGGGGAAAUGGGAAGAUGCUGGUCAAAGGGUAUGAACUUUGAGUUAUAAGCUGAACAAACUCUUGGGAUCUAACAUACAGCAUGGGUGGUGAUGAAUGUGUUAAUUAAUUUGACUGUGAUAAUCAUUGAACAAUAUGUACAUAUAUCUAGCCAUCAUGUUGUACAUCUUGGAUGUAUCCAAUCUUUAUUUAAUAAUUAGAUAUUUUAAAGUAAAAACAAGGUCCACAUAAUGUUGAGAAUCAUUCCUUUAAAUCCAAAUUCAGCUGACAUCACUCUUCUACUUUAACAUGCUCUAAUGGUUUCUUAUCACAUAAAGACAAAAACAAAGCCGUGCUACCAUGACUACAGGGUCCUGUGGCUCUAACUCACAAAGUCUUCUGCCUCUAGUAUUCUCAGGGCCCAGGCCAAGAGUAUAAAAGGAGGCCCACAUGCCAUAUGCUUAAAUAUUAAAGUUUAUAAAUGCAAACCACUUAAAUAAAAAUGAAAAUGUAAUGGUUUCUUUGAAAUGCAAGUAAACCUAUUAAAUAAUUUUGUGAAAUUAAAACUAUUUGGAGUUCUAGCAUUUGCUAUUCAUCUUAUUGCAAGGGUAAAUAAUGGGUAUCACCCUUCACGGGAGACAGCAGUGAUAAGCCUUUAGCAAUAAACGAAAGUUUAACUAAGCUAUACUGACCGUGGUGGCUG